ensembl:lncRNA
CUAUUUGGAACCCGCCCCCUCCUGGAAUUUUAAGGACCUCUGCAACUCUGAACAAAGGGAAAUGCCCAAGAUGUCCUGAUCUAAUUAGUUUAAUUCUUUGGGACUUGUUAAGCAUUUCAAAAGAAUUAGACUAACAGAUUCCUGUGAAAUUCUGUGUGUGUUCCAGCUAACAUCCAUCAAAGUCUAGAAACAGAUGUUUUCAGUGCUGCUGAGAGAAACAAAAAAAUGUCCUAAUGCAUCUGAGAGAUAAGCUUCUGCAGUAUCACAAGAAGAUUAAAGUGGCAGACACUCCUUCCAGCGGAAGUUACUAAUUCGGACCUGACUGAUGCAGUUCCCAUAGCAACCUGUGUUUCCCGGGAAACCCGAAAAGGUUGUCAUGGCAUCUCUUGCUCUCUAGCCCCACCCCCUAGCCCUUGCCGUUUCCACUGUAACCUUUCCAGAUGGUUCCUGCUUACAUGAUUUCACAAGGAAAACCGCUAUUUGAAUAAACCGCACAAAUAAAGUUCAGUCUGAGAAACUGAGGUGGUGAAAUGAAUUACAAAAAUGCAUAUUUGUACUACAAAAAAAAUCACUGAUGUCAUCCCCAUAAUUACUGAAUCGACAAGGAAAAUAUCGUCAUUGGAAUGUUAAAUAUACCCCACAAUAAGCCAUGAUUUGAAUUAAAUACCAGUAAUUAGGCAAUCAUUUUAAAAGAUGCUUCUCUACUGUUUUCUUUCCCCCAAGAAGUUUCAAGUCAACAAAUGAAAUUAAAAAGCAAAUGUAAAUGUGUUCUGCACAUAAGCAAAUGCAAGAUGCAAUCCGUUAUACCUGAAACCUUACUACAAGGGACCUUCAGAUUUCCUCUUUAAAAAAAAAAAAAAAAUCCAGAUUCCACAACAACACUAUCACUAUCACAGCCCUUGAAAAACUAAAUGUGCUUGAAAACUAUAAAGGAUGCACUCUUUUAACUAAGGGAAUUGCAGACAAUCAAUAAAAAGGAGGGACAGGAAGUAACCAAACCUUGGAGAAAUACCUGCAAGAUUCAGCCUUGUGCCAGGGGUUGCCAGAAGACAGACAGUAUCAGUGUUUUCUACAGAAGUUCCAAGUUCUUCCCACCUCUCAGGUGUGAAUAGAAGUGAUAGCCCCUCCCACUAAGAAAUGCAAAGAAGCCCAUGUUCCCCCCAGUCUGAUGACUUAUAGAUGCACUGGGAGAUAGAGAUACCCGAGGAGCCCCACAUAAAGAAGUGUAGAGCUGAACCAACCAGUAGGAUGCACAUUCCAAAUUGCCUACAUCAAGAAUACAGUGUUGGUUGUAUCAUGGAUGGGCGAUGAUCUGUCGGCCAGCACAUAUUUUUGUUCCAGUUGACAUUAAAUAACAUCUCUCGCUAACGAAUGCUUCAUGUAAAGGAAACAGCUCUGAGGCCAGAGGAUUUUCUUCAGAUUGUGUGCAAUAUAAAAGGUUGACCAAGAGAUAAAGAAGAACAUUAAAAAUUACUAAGGUAUCAUUUCAGUCUUUGACAUUUUGAUGACGUUUAAUCAUUCAAAAACUAAUCAGUACUGCUGAUAAAGAAAAACUAAAUGUUUGUUUCCAACAAGCCAACUUUUUACUGUUUUCUUCUUUUGGUUCAUUACUGGACUGUGUUUAAUCCUCUUGUAUAUUAAUGUUAUCUUUUAUGUUCUGGUUUACAUGGAGUUCCCGUCGUGGCUCAGUGGUUAACGAAUCCGACUAGGAACCAUGAGGUUGCGGGUUCGAUCCCUGGCCUUGCUCAGUGGGUUAAGGAUCCAGUGUUGCUGUGAGCUGUGGUGUAGGUUGCAGACAUGGCUCGGAUCUGGCGUUGCUGUGGCUCUGAUGUAGGCCAGCAGCUACAGCUCCGAUUGGACCCCUAGCCUGGGAGCCUCCAUAUGCUGCAGGAGCAGCCCAAGAAAUGGCAAAAAGACAAACAAACAACAAACAGCCAAAAAAAAAAAAAAAAAAAAAAAAA